CUGGGAGCCCCUCCUCGUACCGUCGCUCGAGGCCUGGAGGUGCGCUCUGGGGCUGCCUGGGGACCGCCCGUCUCGGAGCCGCGGGUCAGAGAGAUUGCCGGCGCUGGGAGCUACCUAGCAGAUUUCUGAGAGCCACAACUGAGGUGCAGAAGGGAAAACAACUUCCAAGAGCCUGAUGGUAUGCUAACCCACACCAAAAUAACUGGCACAAACAAGUGAACUUACCAGAGAUAGACCUUGUCAGGGAGCUGGGGCAACGCUGCAAGUCUUUACAUGAAGGGACAGUUUAUCCUCCAUGUCAUCCAUGAACAAGGAAAAGAAGAAAG